CUUCAGUACAAGAGGUGUCAGAAAAGCAUUCAUGUGUAUCGCAGGCUUGUGGCCAAGGUUCAAUAGCGA
rnacentral:rRNA from 1 species